UGAACGCUGGCGGCGUGCUUAACACAUGCAAGUCGAACGGUGAACACGGAGCUUGCUCUGUGGGAUCAGUGGCGAACGGGUGAGUAACACGCGAGCAACCUGCCCCUGACUCUGGGAUAAGCGCUGGAAACGGCGUCUAAUACUGGAUAUGUGACGUGACCGCAUGGUCUGCGUCUGGAAAGAAUUUCGGUUGGGGAUGGGCUCGCGGCCUAUCAGCUUGUUGGUGAGGUAAUGGCUCACCAAGGCGUCGACGGGUAGCCGGCCUGAGAGGGUGACCGGCCACACUGGGACUGAGACACGGCCCAGACUCCUACGGGAGGCAGCAGUGGGGAAUAUUGCACAAUGGGCGCAAGCCUGAUGCAGCAACGCCGCGUGAGGGACGACGGCCUCGGUUGUAACCGUCUUUAGUCAGGAAGAAGCGAAGUGACGGUACCUGCAGAAAGACGCCGGCGUAACUACGUGCCAGCAGC
rnacentral:rRNA from 1 species